UACGUAGGGUGCAAGCGUUGUCCGGAUUUAUUGGGCGUAAAGAGCUCGUAGGCGGCUCGUUGCGUCGGCUGUGAAAACCCGCAGCUCAACUGUGGGCUUGCAGCUGAUACGGGCGGGCUGGGAUUCGGUAGGGGAGACUGGAAUUCCUGGUGUAGCGGUGAAAUGCGCAGAUAUCAGGAGGAACACCGGUGGCGAAGGCGGGUCUCUGGGCCGAUAUCGACGCUGAGGAGCGAAAGCGUGGGGAGCGAACAGG
rnacentral:rRNA from 1 species